UACGGAGGGGGCUAGCGUUGUUCGGAUUUACUGGGCGUAAAGGGCGCGUAGGCGGCGAUGUAAGUCACUUGUGAAAUCUCUGAGCUUAACUCAGAACGGCCAAGUGAUACUGCAUUGCUAGAGUGCAGAAAGGGCAAUCGGAAUUCUUGGUGUAGCGGUGAAAUGCGCAGAUAUCAGGUGGAACACCGAUGGCGAAGGCAGUGAUCUGGGCCAGUACUGACGCUGAGGAGCGAAAGCGUGGGGAGCAAACAGG
rnacentral:rRNA from 1 species